rnacentral:rRNA from 1 species
CCUACGGGCGGCAGCAGUGAGGAAUAUUGGUCAAUGGACGAGAGUCUGAACCAGCCAAGUAGCGUGAAGGAUGACUGCCCUAUGGGUUGUAAACUUCUUUUAUAUGGGAAUAAAAUGUUCCACGUGUGGGAUUUUGUAUGUACCAUAUGAAUAAGGAUCGGCUAACUCCGUUCCAGCAGCCGCGGUAAUACGGAGGAUCCGAGCGUUAUCCGGAUUUAUUGGGUUUAAAGGGAGCGUAGGUGGAUUGUUAAGUCAGUUGUGAAAGUUUGCGGCUCAACCGUAAAAUUGCAGUUGAAACUGGCAGUCUUGAGUACAGUAGAGGUAGGCGGAAUUCGUGGUGUAGCGGUGAAAUGCUUAGAUAUCACGAAGAACUCCGAUUGCGAAGGCAGUUCACUGGACUGCAACUGACACUGAGGCUCGAAAGUGUGGGUAUCAAACAGGAUUAGAUACCCUAGUAGUC